ACAAUAAUAACAUUUGCUUCUUACAGGUUCUUCCAAGGAAACUAGGGUUUAUAGAAAAGUAUGGCUUGGGCGUUUAGCAAUCUGGCAACAAAGACAAGGAAUAUGGUUGUUGCGGGUGGAUUGACUGGAUUUGUUGUCGGGGUUUAUUACUACACGAUGAGAGCUGUUGGAGACACCGAUGAGCUUCAAGUAGCCAUAGACAAAUUUGAAGAACAGAAACAUAAGACUGAAAACUUGCCAUCUAAGGUAUGAUGAAUGAUGUGUUUCUCUAGACAUGUAAUGAAGAUGACAAUUGAGUUCUUGGAGUUUUAACUGUUGUUGCUAUAUUAAUUAACCUUUAAAAUUAACCACAAUUACAUUGUUUUCAAAUAAGGUCAUUUUGGAAAUUCCAUUUCCUUAUGAGUUCUUGUUUAUCUGUGGUUCCUUUCAAAUGGAUGUAUUUGAAUUUAUUCUCACACAUAUUCAUAAAUUUAUUGAGGGUUUCUCAAUGAGAUUUAGAUCCA